GCUACACAUGCAGUCGAGCGGCAGCGGGUCCUUCGGGAUGCCGGCGAGCGGCGGACGGGUGAGUAAUGCCUAGGAAUCUGCCUGGUAGUGGGGGAUAACUCGGGGAAACUCGAGCUAAUACCGCAUACGUCCUACGGGAGAAAGCGGGGGAUCUUCGGACCUCGCGCUACCAGAUGAGCCUAGGUCGGAUUAGCUAGUUGGUGAGGUAAAGGCUCACCAAGGCGACGAUCCGUAGCUGGUCUGAGAGGAUGAUCAGCCACACUGGAACUGGGACACGGUCCAGACUCCUACGGGAGGCAGCAGUGGGGAAUAUUGGACAAUGGGCGAAAGCCUGAUCCAGCCAUGCCGCGUGUGUGAAGAAGGUCUUCGGAUUGUAAAGCACUUUAAGUUGGGAGGAAGGGCAGUAAGCUAAUACCUUGCUGUUUUGACGUUACCGACAGAAUAAGCACCGGCUAACUUCGUGCCAGCAGCCGCGGUAAUACGAAGGGUGCAAGCGUUAAUCGGAAUUACUGGGCGUAAAGCGCGCGUAGGUGGUUUGAUAAGUUGGAUGUGAAAGCCCCGGGCUCAACCUGGGAAUUGCAUCCAAAACUGUCUGGCUAGAGUAUGGCAGAGGGUGGUGGAAUUUCCUGUGUAGCGGUGAAAUGCGUAGAUAUAGGAAGGAACACCAGUGGCGAAGGCGACCACCUGGGCUAAUACUGACACUGAGGUGCGAAAGCGUGGGGAGCAUACAGGAUUAGAUACCCUGUAGUCCACGCCCUAAACGAUGAGAACUAGCCGUCU
rnacentral:rRNA from 1 species